AAUUUCCUGAUAUGUUCGUUAGAUUCUCUUUAAUUCAACCGACAUAUAUAAUAUGGGAGUUUGGAGUCUGAUAAUGUAUGGUAUGCCUUUUAAAGGACAUCAGAACUUAUUAGCAGAGCACCCACCUGCGAGAGUAGCGGGUAUGAAUUAAUGAGCAUGACGGCAUGUCGGGUAAACC
rnacentral:other from 1 species